GAUGAACGCUGGCGGCGUGCCUAAUACAUGCAAGCCGAGCGAACGGACGAGAAGCUUGCUUCUCUGAUGUUAGCGGCGGACGGGUGAGUAACACGUGGAUAACCUACCUAUAAGACUGGGAUAACUUCGGGAAACCGGAGCUAAUACCGGAUAAUAUUUUGAACCGCAUGGUUCAAAAGUGAAAGACGGUCUUGCUGUCACUUAUAGAUGGAUCCGCGCUGCAUUAGCUAGUUGGUAAGGUAACGGCUUACCAAGGCAACGAUGCAUAGCCGACCUGAGCGGGUGAUCGGCCACACGGGAACUGAGACACGGUCCAGACUCCUACGGGGGGAAGCAGUAGGGAAUCUUCCGCAAUGGGCGAAAGCCUGACGGAGCAACGCCGCGUGAGUGAUGAAGGUCUUCGGAUCGUAAAACUCUGUUAUUAGGGAAGAACAUAUGUGUAAGUAACUGUGCACAUCUUGACGGUACCUAAUCAGAAAGCCACGGCUAACUACGUG
rnacentral:rRNA from 1 species